AUUGAACGCUGGCGGCAGGCCUAACACAUGCAAGUCGAACGGUAGCACAGAGAGCUUGCUCUCGGGUGACGAGUGGCGGACGGGUGAGUAACGUCUGGGAAGCUGCCCGAUGGAGGGGGAUAACUACUGGAAACGGUAGCUAAUACCGCAUAACGUCGCAAGACCAAAGUGGGGGACCUUCGGGCCUCACACCAUCGGAUGUGCCCAGAUGGGAUUAGCUAGUAGGUGGGGAAAUGGCUCACCUAGGCGACGAUCCCUAGCUGGUCUGAGAGGAUGACCAGCCACACUGGAACUGAGACACGGUCCAGACUCCUACGGGAGGCAGCAGUGGGGAAUAUUGCACAAUGGGCGCAAGCCUGAUGCAGCCAUGCCGCGUGUAUGAAGAAGGCCUUCGGGUUGUAAAGUACUUUCAGCGGGGAGGAAGGCGGUGAAGUUAAUAACUUCACCGAUUGACGUUACCCGCAGAAGAAGCACCGGCUAACUCCGUGCCAGCAGCCGCGGUAA
rnacentral:rRNA from 1 species